rnacentral:rRNA from 1 species
CGGUGUUCAACUGGCGUGCCCGCGGGACGUCCUGCCGGUGAGCUCAGCCCGCGAGGGCGGCUCAACUUGAAAUCCCAUCGCGGUGCUCUUCAUUGAGUGUCGAGGUGGGCCGGCACGAUUACUUUUGAACAAAUUAGAGUGCUUAAAGCAGGCUAAAAUUUUGCCUGAAUACUGUGUAUAUGGAAUAAUGGAAUAGGACCUCGGUUCUAUUUUGUUGGUUUUCGGAACCCCGAGGUAAUGAUUAAUAGGAAACGGAUGGGGGCAUUCGUAUUGCGACGUUAGAGGUGAAAUUCUUGGAUCGUCGCAAGACGGACUAAAGCGAAAGCAUUUGCCAAAAACGCUUUCAUUGAUCAAGAACGAAAGUUAGAGGUUCGAAGGCGAUCAGAUACCGCCCUAGUUCUAACCAUAAACUAUGCCAGCUAGCGAUCCGCCGACGUCCCUCUGAUGACUCGGCGGGCAGCUUCCGGGAAACCAAAGCUUUUGGGUUCCGGGGGAAGUAUGGUUGCAAAGCUGAAACUUAAAGGAAUUGACGGAAGGGCACCACCAGGAGUGGAGCCUGCGGCUUAAUUUGACUCAACACGGGAAACCUCACCAGGCCCAGACACUGGAAGGAUUGACAGAUUGAGAGCUCUUUCUUGAUUCAGUGGGUGGUGGUGCAUGGCCGUUCUUAGUCGGUGGAGCGAUUUGUCAGGUUAAUUCCGAUAACGGACGAGACUCUGACCUGAUAACUAGACGCACUUGCGGCAUCUCAAAGGUCCGCCGGCGGCUGGCUUUGCGCCCGUCGUCGCGCGCGAUUUUUACUGCCGGCGUACAAUAAAUUCUUCUUAGAGGGACAAGUGG